AGUGAACGCUGGCGGUAGGCCUAACACAUGCAAGUCGAACGGCAGCACAGUAAGAGCUUGCUCUUACGGGUGGCGAGUGGCGGACGGGUGAGGAAUACAUCGGAAUCUACUUUUUCGUGGGGGAUAACGUAGGGAAACUUACGCUAAUACCGCAUACGACCUACGGGUGAAAGCAGGGGAUCUUCGGACCUUGCGCGAUUGAAUGAGCCGAUGUCGGAUUAGCUAGUUGGCGGGGUAAAGGCCCACCAAGGCGACGACCCGUAGCUGGUCUGAGAGGAUGAUCAGCCACACUGGCACUGAGACACGGUCCAGACUCCUACGGGAGGCAGCAGUGGGGAAUAUUGGACGAUGGGCGCAAGCCUGAUCCAGCCAUACCGCGUGGGUGAUGAAGGACUUCGGGUUGUAAAGCCCUUUUGUUGGGAAAGAAAAGCAGCAGGUUAAUACCCCGCUGUUCUGACGGUACCCAAAGAAUAAGCACCGGCUAACUUCGUG
rnacentral:rRNA from 1 species